ACCGGAAAUUGCGUGAUGAGGUGACAGGAGUUCUUUUGAAAAGCAGGAGCUCAGACACACACACACACACAUACACACACGGAGGAGUCUGGCUGUGGACUGUGCACACGGGGGCUGCGUCUAACACACGGAUUAAAGGUUGGUGGAGAUGUGGUGGUUUCAGCAGGGGUUGUGUAUCCUGCCAGUGUCACUGGUAGUUUGGACAGCAGCUACAUUUGUUUUUGCUUACAUCACAGCAGUGGAACUGAGACACGUCGACCCCUUCGUCCCCUACAUCAGUGACACGGGAACGGUUCCUCCUGAGAGGUGUGUGUUUGGGGUUAUGCUCAGCGUCUCGGCAUUUCUGGGCGUUGCCACCAUGUAUGUGCGUUAUAAGCAGGUGGAGGCUCUCACUGAUCAGGGAGAAAAGCAGCUGCUGAAGAUCAACACUGUGGGCCUCGUGCUGGGCUUCAUCAGUUCCUUCGGCAUGUGUGUGGUGGCAAAUUUCCAGAAGACAACGUUGUUUUCGAUGCACCUGGUGGGCGCAGCCCUGACGUUUGGCGUGGGGGCACUCUACAUCCUGACGCACACACUCGUCUCGUACCACAUGCAGCCACACAUACACACCAAACAAGUGUUCUGGGUUCGACUGAUCAUCUGCCUGUGGACCUUCAGCAGCAUCAUCAGCAGCAUCCUCACUCUUCAUCACCACCACCAUCACCAUCACUCAUCACCGUCAUCACCACUCAUCAUCAUCACCCAUCACCGUCAUCACCAUCACUCAUCACUGUCAUCACCAUCACUCAUCACCGUCAUCACCACUCAUCACCAUCACCCAUCACCGUCACCACCACCACUCAUCACCAUCACCACCACUCAUCACCGUCAUCACGUCACCAUCACCACCAUCACUAAUCACCGUCAUCACCACUCAUCACCCAUCACCGUCAUCACUCAUCACAGUCAUCACCACUCAUCACCAUCACCCAUCACCGUCAUCACCACCACUCAUCACCGUCAUCACCAUCACUCAUCACUGUCAUCACCACUCAUCAUCAUCACCCAUCACCGUCAUCACCACCACUCAUCACCGUCACCAUCACUCAUCACUGUCAUCAUCACCACCACUCAUCACCGUCAUCACCGUCACCAUCACCACCAUCACUAAUCACCGUCAUCACCACUCAUCAUCAUCACCCAUCACCGUCAUCAUCACUCAUCACCGUCAUCACCACUCAUCACCCAUCACCAUCAUCAGAACCACUCAUCACAUCACCGUCAUCACCGUCACCACCCAUCACAGUCAUCACCACCACUCAUUAGUCAUCACCACCACUCAUCACUAUCACCGUCACCACCACUCAUCACUAUCACCGUCACCACCACUCAUCACUAUCACCGUCACCACCACUCAUCACCAUCACAGUCAUCACCAUCACAGUCAUCACCAUCACUCAUCACCGUCAUCACCGUCACCACCACUCAUCACAUCACCACCACUCAUCAUCACUGUCAUCACUGUGUGUGAAUGAGAGUAUUAGAAAGUUAAAGAUUAAGGAUAAGGUAUUUAAGAUUAAUGAUGUAGAGUAGGAUCGUGGUCAGUAAUGCGCGCGCGCGUUUGUGUGUGUGUGUGAGAGAGAAAGUGUGUGUGUUAGUUAUGGAUCGUGGUAAGUAACGUGUGUGUGUGAGAGAGAGAGUGUGUGUGUGUGUGUGUGUGUGUGUGUGUUAGUUAUGGAUCAUGGUCAGUAACGCGUGCGUGUGUGUGUGUGUGAAAGAGAGAGAGAGUGUGUGUUAGUUAUGGAUCGUGGACUAAAAUGAGAGAUUUUUCUCCUUGACCGCGUCUCAGUGUUCGUGUCCUCAGUGAUUCUGUACAGCAGCCUGCCGGGAUUAGAGGUGCACAAAAAACUCCACUGGAACCCCGGGGAACCUGGUUACACAGUUCACAUGGUGAGCACGGUGUCUGAAUGGUCUCUGGCUUUCUCCUUCAUCAGCUUCUUCCUCACCUACAUCAGAGACUUUCAG